ACGGUGCAUUGGGUGAACUUGUUACUACAGAGAUUUCCGUAUUCAGUCUAUCCCAUUACUCAUUUGCUUCAUAAGUUCCUACCAUAUAGUUUAUGUCGAUUUAUUCUACUCAUAUUCAUAAUUCACGCGCCGCUGUCGCCGCCACUUUGAGGCCUUAGCCACCAAGCGGCAUCCUUUCCCGUGAGGCUUAAUUCAGUACAUGCUUCUCUGAAUUUCUAUGAGAUUAAUUCAGUAUAUGUUUCUCUGAAUGUUAUCCUGCCAUGUUGGAAUGUAUCAUUGGAAUGCAAGUUAGGAUGCUCUCUCUCCGUAUGAUAUACUUUAUGUUCUAUCACAAAUUUGAUCUGUUUUAGGUGAUGUACAUGAAUGGCGGCAGAUGGUUGAGGAUUGAGGGAAUGUAGAUGCGACUAGCGAGCACUUACUCUGAGGUGCUUUCAGAUGAUGGAUUAAUAAGACUGUUUGGACAAAAUUCUGAUUUUUUUAACACUUGUUCCAUGUGCGAAUGUUCUGGGAGCACCAACUCCAACUGCUGACAAG